rnacentral:rRNA from 1 species
CACCGCGGUUAAACGAGAGGCCCUAGUUGAUAACAUUACGGCGUAAGGGUGGUUAAGGAAAGCACAACAAUAAAGCCAAAUGGCCCUUUGGCCGUCAUACGCUUCUAGGUGUCCGAGGCCCGCCCCCACGAAAGUAGCUUUAGCAAAGCCCACCUGACCCCACGAAAGCUGAGGAACAAACUGGGAUUAGAUACCCCACUAUGCUCAGCCGUAAACCUAGACGUCCAACUACAAUUAGACGUUCGCCCGGGUACUACGAGCAUUAGCUUGAAACCCAAAGGACCUGACGGUGCCUUAGACCCCCCUAGAGGAGCCUGUUCUAGAACCGAUAACCCCCGUUUAACCUCACCACUUCUAGCCACCCCAGCCUAUAUACCGCCGUCGUCAGCUUACCCUGUGAAGGCAAUAAAAGUAAGCAAAAUGGGCACAACCCAGAACGUCAGGUCGAGGUGUAGCGUACGAAGCGGAAAGAAAUGGGCUACAUUUUCUAUAAUAGAACACUACGGAUAAUGCAACAUGAAAUAGUGCUUGAAGGAGGAUUUAGUAGUAAAAAGGAAGCAGAGUGUCCUUUUGAACCCGGCUCUGAGGCGCGUACACACCGCCCGUCACUCUCCCCUGUCGAAACGCAAUAAAGAUACAUAACAACAAAGCACUGACAAGGGGAGGCAAGUCGUAACAUGGUAAGUGUACCGGAAGGUGCACUUGGAUUAAAUUCAGGGCGUGGCUGAG